UACGGAGGAUGCAGGCGUUAUCCGGAUUUAUUAGGUUUAAAGGGUGCGCAGGCGGCCCUAUAAGUCAGUGGUGAAAGUUUGCGGCUUAACCGUAAAAUUGCCAUUGAUACUGUAGGGCUUGAAUGUGGUAGAGGUAGGCGGAAUGUGUAGUGUAGCGGUGAAAUGCUUAGAUAUUACACAGAACACCGAUUGCGAAGGCAGCUUACUAUGCCAUGAUUGACGCUGAGGCACGAAAGCGUGGGUAGCGAACAGG
rnacentral:rRNA from 1 species